GCUCAGUAACACGUCGCUAACCUAACCUUAAGUUUUGGAUAACCUCGCGAAAGUGAGGGUAAGCCAGAAUAGGAGAUUGUCUCUGGAAUGGAACUAUCUCCCAAACGCAAGGCUUAAGGAUGGGGCGGCGUCCGAUUAGGUUGUUGGCGGUGUAAAGGACCACCAAGCCCAUGAUCGGUAGGGGCCCUGAGAGGGGGAGCCCCGAGAAGGGCACUGAGACACUGGCCCUAGCCCUACGGGGUGCAGCAGGCGCGAAACCUUUACACUACGCGAAAGCGUGAUAAGGGGAUCCCAAGUGCUAACUGCAUAAGUUGGCUUUUGCCAAGUGUAAAAAGCUUGGAGAAUAAGUGGUGGGCAAGACUGGUGCCAGCCGCCGCGGUAACCCCAGCGCCACUAGUCGGAAUCACACUUAUUGGGUCUAAAGCGUUCGUAGCCGGCCAAGCUAAUCUCUUGUGAAAUCGUUAAGCCUAACUUAUCGACGUGCAGGAGACACUACUUUGGCUCGGGACUGGGAGGGGUUAGAGGUAUGCUUGGGGGGAGCAGUAAAAUGCUAUAAUCCCGAGUAGACCACCUGUGGCGAAGGCGUCUAACUAGAACAGAUCCGACGGUCAGGAACGAAAGCUAGGGGAGCAAUCCGGAUUAGAUACCCGAGUAGUCCUAGCAGUAAACGCUGCGAGCCAGGUGUUGCACAUUCUUUGGGAAUGUGCAGUGUCGAAACGAGGUGAUAAGCUCGCCACCUGGGGGAGUACGGUCGCAAGACUGAAAACUC
rnacentral:rRNA from 1 species